UUUGGCCCAAAAUGUUCAUUUCAGUGCAUAUAAUCAUAUGUUCCAGAAAAGAAAAUAUACUAUAUAUGUUAUAUGGACUAUUUUUUAUAAGGUUUUUGGUGAUUUUUGUCCUUUUUUCAUUGCUACUGUACAGAAAAAUCGCUUUGUGAAUAUUCUACUAAACUACUAAACAUUUUACGGAAGGAAAAUUACAGGUUUAGAAAUACAUGAGGGUGAGUGAACAUUCAUUUUUUGGGUGAACUAUCCCUUUAAAUUGUCUUCUGAUUCAUACUCCGAGUUAAUAAUAGCACAUGAGAUCACCACGGACCGAGGGACGGGACGGGACGGGACGGGAUGGUGGCGCCCAGUUCAGCUUGGUUUAGCUCUUUGAUUCGGCCCCUGCUGUGGCACCUUGACCUCCAGAGGUCAAACUACAAUCUCUCCAUUCAGACGAGUAGGAUUAUAAAACUAGUCCCCCUCUCUGAGAAGUUAUUCUUUCAGCUUUUGUCCCUGUAAACUAACCACUCUUUGCAAAGUGGGGGCAAAGACGUCAAAAACGCCUCCUCCUCCUCCUAAUUACUUCUUUCUCUUGCGAUCGGAGCUUUUGUUCGGCUAAAGCCCGGUGGGUCACCCGGCCCGCUCGAUGCGUUCCCUGAAGAGAAACCAACAGUGUGUUUCAAGGACACGCAGUCAGGGAAUGCAAGACACCUGAGAAUAGUGUGUGUGUGUGUGUGUGUGUGAAGUGCUUGUUACUGGAAGACUAAUGUGUUUUCAGUGUGUGUGAGACACGAGGAAAAGCCAGAGGAAACAGGGAAAGGGAGGACGGCCUGGCGCGGAUCGCUCUUGGCAGCGGAGAGAAGAAAAACGAGAUCGGGUGACUGGGCAGAGAGAGUUCACGGCCGAAAGCAGAGAAGAGGGAAAAAAAGAGAAAGAUGAUCUCCGUGUUUUUCACGGGCAACAAGAAUAAAUUCAAGCGAACGACCUCUUUAGGAUCCUCCACGACCCCAGCCGGGAGACGCCGGAGUCUGUGCAUUACGCUCUGAACCUGCGACCUCGGGCUGUAUUUAACUAACGGCCGCUUAUCUGAGUGUGUGCAAACGUAAAUCUUGCACUUUUUCCAUCCCAAAACAGAUAAAGGAAGACCAGUAUCUUUUCUCGUCUGAGAUCUACAGCAGUUCUCUUAAAACAGAUGUGAAUUAUGACUGAUAUGAGCUCUCUCUCAUCUGAGACAGCACAGGAUCUGAUUCAUACAUGAAUAUGAAUGCACAAGUGAUGCUUUAACGCAGGCAGAAUGAUGUUUUUGUAUGUUCUCAAUGGCAUACUAACAUACUACGUUUACAUGUAUGCAUUUAGCAGACGCUAAAGUGACCUGCAUAAAAAACAGAGGCAUUAUAGAGUGCAGAAUGCAAGAAAAUAGUAUGGAGGAGAGAGAGCAAGUGUGUGUGUGAAUAGGAAAAAAUCUGGAAUGUUUUCCUCCAAAACCUUCAUUUAAUUCUGGAGUGAACUAAUCCUUUAAAUUACAGUAAAUAUUCUGUGUGUAAACAGAGAGAGAGAGAGACACGGGGCAGCCGAGAUGCUCUAAUAGAGUCAUUAAACUCCUCAAGCAGAUGACAAGACCUGAUGGAGGAGUGAGAGAAGAGGAGGAGGAGGAGGAGAACAGUGCUCUCACAGGUCAGAGGAGGUUUCAGAGAUUGACUGAACGUGAAAGCCGCAGAGGUUCAUGAACAGCGCGGGUUCACACGGGCCGCCGCUCAAACUGAACCCAGCGACGGAGCCCUCUGGAGAGUCUGCCAUGACCGUCUGCUGUCCUUCUAAAUGAAGUCAUUUUGAAGCGCUGCUGCGGCUCAGGAAGCGCCUACGGUCUGUGUAUCAUCUGCGGGGGACGGAGGCGACGAGAGGAGCCAACAGGAUAUUAAACAGGCCGAUGUCUAUCGCAGGGGGCACCGGACCAAACUCAUCUGGAAUACUCUGCAGUCUGACCAGCACAUGUCCGCACAUCUUCACUUAGAACUUUUGAGAUUUUGGAGACAUUUCAAAACUCGUUAUGAAUUUAAAUUUCGGCCCUAAACAUGCUUUAAAAUUUUGUGAUAAUGCAAUGACAUUUAUACUACUUUUAAGAGUGAGAAAUAAUUUCUGGGGUCAGAUUAGAGCUGCACGAUUAAUCGUUAAAAGAUAGCAAUCUCGAUUCAAACACCCGUGCGAUCGUAUUCCUAAAUUACAAUGAUUCAGCUCUGUCUAAUAAACCUUUGACAAGUACGAUCACAGCGAACAUUCAGAUUGUAGAACUGGAAAAAAAGUUUAUAGUUCAGAUAUAAACACUGAUGUCUAGAGUAGCGAUUAAAAUAGAAUAAAUCACCUUUAGAAAAUAAACUGACGCUUCAAAUAAAGAUUGUAUUGCAUCAUUACACCAGUAGGU